UACAGAGGGGGCUAGCGUUGCUCGGAAUCACUGGGCGUAAAGCGCACGUAGGCGGCUUCUUAAGUCAGGGGUGAAAUCCUGGAGCUCAACUCCAGAACUGCCUUUGAUACUGGCGAUCUUGAGUCCGGGAGAGGUGGAGUGGAACUGCGAGUGUAGAGGUGAAAUUCGUAGAUAUUCGCAAGAACACCAGUGGCGAAGGCGGCUCACUGGCCCGGUACUGACGCUGAGGUGCGAAAGCGUGGG
rnacentral:rRNA from 1 species